GGAGGAAAGGCUUGGUGGGAUAGCUUGCCCCCACCCCCCAACCGGAGCCUGGAAAGGGGAGGACAGGGGAGGCUGGAGAAGGCGAGCGAGGACGGGGUUAUUAGCGGGGCAGAGCGGGGCACCGGAGCUGACGCCCCCGAAAGGCAAGCGAGGGGGGUGGCGUCCCGGGGCGCCCGGGCGAGGAGCUGGCGCCCCGGGCCGCCGGGCCGCCGGGCCGGGCCGCCCCGCGCGGAGCCGGGUCUCUUACCUGCCGCCCGCUUGGGUGCCUGCUGCUUCCUCCUUGGCAUCGCUCUAGUUCGCUCCAGUCCCACUUCUGGCGCCCCAGCCCCGAGCCGCCGCGCGCGGGGGCCCGCUGUCUCGCUCGCCUCUCCGGGUCUCCUCCGCCUCCUGCCCGGUGGCUCCCAGGGCGUCACUCGGCCUCUGUCCCCCUGUCCCUGCAACUCCUCCACCGGGGGCCGGAGACCCCCCUCUCUGCGUGGCAGGCAAGACACGGGUGGCUGUGCCGGCUGGUUUGAAGUAGAGGUUGGUUCUGCCUUGUUUGUUUGUUUGUUUGGUUUUGGAUUUUUUGUUUUUGUUUUUUCUCCUCUCUCUUUUUGUUUUUGCUUUUUGGAAAUUUUUUUUUUUUUGGUUUGGUUUUUUUUUUGUUGGUUUUUUUUUUUGGUGACUGUUGAGACACUUGAUUUCUUUAUUAAACAUCCAAGAGCGGGUUCGGAUGGAAGGGACGAGGGACGCACACGCGCGCGUAAAGAUAAGGAAAAAAAAAAAAAACAACACACAAACAAUCCUGGGAAGGUAGUGGGGUCCUCUUUCGCUCCUUCCUUCUCCUCCUGGCCUCCUGCACCUCCACCUCCUCGUCUUCCUCUUCCUCGCCGGGCUCGAUGGCGGAUUCGCGCCGGGGGCAGAGAGAUCUCUCACUGUCGGGUUGUGGCUGCUGUCAGAUCCCCGUCUCUGAGUGAUAUGCGAGAGGACAGGAGCGGGUUUGGGAAAGACAGAAAAUCUGGAAUUCACUCGCACACACUCACACACGCACACUCACACACACACACACACACACACACACUCACACUCGCUCCCUCUCACACACACACACACACACUCACACCCCCCACAGAUGCACACACACACACACACACACACCACGCGCACGCACACACAUACACACACACUCUCACACACACACAAGACAGGGCGAGGCGAUGCCAGCAAACAUCGAUCCCGCUGAACAAACUGAACAUUAACAAACUCCUCCUCCUCUCCCCGCGACCUGAUGACAGGGAGAAAUUUACUCCCCAGCCGCAGAGCGCCAGGCAGAGGGAGUCUAUUAAAGGGACAGUGUCCCGCCGGGAGCGGGGCGGGGCGGGGACCCCGGCGUGCCGCCUGCCCUGCCGUGCGCCCCGCUCGCUGGCGCUGCGACGCGCCCCCCGGGCCGCGGGGACACCCCUCGGAGGAGCGCUGAGAAAGGACGCGCUGGGGGCAGGGGGAUGGAAGGAGGAGCCCCGGGCGCCAGGUCAGUGGGCAGACACGUGGACUCCUCUUUGGAUGUGGAUUCCCAGGGACCACUUGGCGUUCUUGGUACCAGGAAUCGGAACCACCAGUCUGGCUGUCACAGCCAAGUUUGGCCAGCCUGGCUUUAGCUCACUGGUGUUGAGACGGCAGAUUAGAUCCUGCCACUGAAUCCAAAUCAUUCAACAUCUGGGACAGCUGUUUUCCACCAAACAGAUUAAGUGCAGAGGAAAAGCUACUCUCUGCAGCGAUCAUAGUCCGGGUAGGGAAAGCAAGGUAGAAAUGAGAAGGAAGAAUUGAGAAAGAGAGAGAGAGGGAAUCAGACGGCUGUCUAGGUCUUGACUUCAGGCUCUUUUCCCAGAGCUGGCUGCAUCCUCGUUUCGUGUGUUCCCUGAGACACCCCCACCCUUAGAAAACGACCUGGACAUUUUGCACCAGCCAAAGAAGUUGCUUUCUGCCAUCCACACCCUAAAAGCGCAGAAUCAUAGGACGACCAAAUCUUGCUACUUCUCAGAACAAAAUUUAAAUUCUUUUUGAGGCAAUGUGGCUUACAAAUAACACAUAAAUGAUUUACUGGUCAAAAACAUGGUUGGCCAACUUCCUUGGAAAAAAGACAAGAAAUGGGCAGGGCUAUUUGUUCCUUGUUUCAGCAACAGGUGACAGUAAGGAUUUCUGAAUUGUCUCCCAGCUCUAAUUUCCUUAAAAAAUUUUUUUUUCCUUACAACUUAUAAUUGGUAAUUAAACAAAAAUAACAGUAGUGUUCAGGAAAAUGAGAGGAGGGAGAAAGUCAGAAUUCAGGAGGAAAACUAGUUGUAAGUCAAGAAGGUACAUGGCCAUUUUGAGGAGAAUAAGACACACUUCAGGAAACGUGUUCCCUUGGACAGGACACAGGACAGGUGCGUCCAGUGAUGGCCUGACCCAAAAGCUAAAGUGAGGGGGGAGCUGCGGAGGAGCAGGAGGAGAGGGCAUUCCAUGGUUACCAGGGAGAAACUUAACUCGCGUGAGCUUAAUAAAGCAGUUUCAAAAGGUUUCGGUUUUUUGUUUGCUUCCCACCUGGGUCUGGGCAGAGCGCAGCCAGUCACAUUUCAGGCUCGCUGGAUCCGGGAAGUUGAGUAACGCCACCAGGACUCAUUAUCUGUGCCUCUGAGUUCCACUUGUGUCUGCACUGGCUUCAUUCCCAAGCAGAUUAUUUUUUAAUAUAAGAUGCUGCCAGAUUUAACAACUAAGAAUAUAAGACACCUAGAUUCAUUUGAACUUCAGAUAAAUAAACGACAAAUAUAUUUUUUGAGAUUAAGUAUAUCCCAUGCAAUAUUUGGGAUACACUUACACUGUAAAGUUAUUCAUUAUUUGAAUUUUACGGGGGAAUCAGGUAUUUUACUGGGGCUUCCCAGGUGGUACUAGUGGUAAAGAAGCUGCCUGCUAGAGCUGGUGACAUAAGAGACCUGGGUUCUAUCCCUGGAUCGGGAGGAUCCCUUGGAGAAGCACGUGGUAACCCACUCCAGUAUUUUAUUGGCCCACCCUCCUCACAUGAGGUGGCAAAGAUGACUGCCAAUACUUCUAGACCUUAUAUUCUAUCUUCUAUUAUGUGUCCCAUUGGAACAAUCCAUGAACUGAUCACUGUGGCUUAAGAAAUGCAAUAAUCUGAUGAGCCAGAAGACAGAAAAGAUGUGGGAACAUAAUAGCUGUCCAUGAAAAAAAAAACAACACAGACUUACAAAUGGUUGGAGUGGAAUAUAGAAACAAUUUGAGUUCAAGCUCCUCAUUUAGCAGAUACAACAGUGAAGCCUGGAGGCGGCUUUACUUCCCCAGACAGCAGUCGUGGGGGAAUCCAGGCUGGAACAUCCGCCUGCCACCUCCUUACCACCCAGGCUCUUCCCACGCACCCUCGUGGCCACCGCCAUCCAGAUAUCUACUGGAUAAGUCGGUUAGCACCCACAAGGGCUUCCUCUCUCUCUUCUCUGUAUACAAAGUGAACAGGUAAAAAGGAAAUGCUUGUCAAAACAAAUCUCUAUUUGGUUUUCUCCAUCUACGGGACAAUUUCUGUAACGUGUCAAUCACUUUGUUGCAAAAUAGCCCUUCCAACGCACAAUCCACAUUUUCUGAUGACACCAGCCUGUCAGUCACUCACUACAUCAAAGCCAGAUUUCAUGCCAGCGAAGACCAGCUUGUCAAU
rnacentral:lncRNA from 1 species